GACAGAGGAUGCAAGCGUUAUCCGGAAUGAUUGGGCGUAAAGCGUCCGCAGGUGGCUAUGUAAGUCUGCUGUUAAAGAGUCUGGCUCAACCAGAUAAAGGCAGUGGAAACUACAUGGCUAGAGUGCGUUCGGGGCAGAGGGAAUUCCUGGUGUAGCGGUGAAAUGCGUAGAGAUCAGGAAGAACACCGGUGGCGAAAGCGCUCUGCUAGGCCGCAACUGACACUGAGGGACGAAAGCUAGGGGAGCGAAUGAG
rnacentral:rRNA from 1 species